UUCAUUAAAUCCAUCGAUCGUCCUUUGUCAACAAUGCCGUGUGCUGCGCCGCAGUUCAAACUAUUCCACAGGCCCAUACAACGAUAUAUAAACUAUAUUUUAACUAUCACAUAAACAACAAUAUUAUCAAACCAUUUGUGUCACUCCAAAUCAUUAAAUCCAUCGACAUGUCCAGAGGAUAUGGCGCUUUAAAGUGUUGAUUUUUUUCUCUCUAUUUUUCAUGUUUUGAAUAUGUUCAAGAUAAAGAUAUCAAAGCAUGUGAAGUGAUCAACUAUACUAAAAAUAACAUGUGAAGUGGUCAACUAUACUUGUAAGUAAGUGAUGUGUUAAUGAUCAAGUAAAAAUUUGUGAAAAAAAACAUAUAUAAGUCUCUCCUGAGUAUAAGUCGCCCCCCCACCCAAACUAUGAAACAAAACGCGACUUAUAGUCCGAAAAUUACGGUACAUGCACAUCAAAGACUCAUACACUUACUUUUUUUGUAAUAAUAAAAAGAAACAUUAAAAAAUCUGUGAAAUUAGCAUAGAUUUUUCCAUAGACAUCUAAACAUAUUUAGUCUUCAAUGAAGCUAAUAAACAUCAAAGGCAAAUUUGUUUUCAAGUCUUCAAUGAUGCUAAGAUGCCACCCCCCGCCCGUCCACACAUACGCACACACAAACAUCAAAUACGGUUUCGCCUUUGAUGGUUACAAAAUGCACAUUUAGCUUCUCAAAGACAAUUUUGAUCCUACCAUAAAGCUAACUUGAAGUCAUGUUGCGGUAACUGUCCGUGAAAUAAGCUGCAGACGACAAUACGAUCAAAGUCACGAGCAGACACUUUCUAUCUUUUUCUUUUUUUAGCUGCAGCUCAAACGUUCAAAGUGGUGAAGGACAUGCAGUCGAAGAUGUCAAGUCCUUCACAUUCAUAGAAAUCCAUGACGCAGCGCAACUCUGAGGCAUCUAAAAGAGGCCUGGACCGUACUGCGGCGACUGUCGGGAUUCUUGUGGCUUGCGCGGCCUCGGCUUCUUCCCUGCCGGGCCGCUGCAGCUUGGCGAACAUGCAAGCUGAUGCCUAUACUAAAGGUUUUUGUGGCUCCCAACGUAUCCAGGCACAACACAAAGAUCAGUGCUGAGCAGCAGCCUCUCUGACAGCCAGCUUUGAUGUGGCCUUUUCACUGUUGCGACCGCAGACGCAAGAGGAACCAGAUGAGCUCCAGGCUGCUUUGUGCCUUGUGGAAAAGAAAGAAAAAGGCCAUAAAUGGAGAAAGAAAAAGAGGGCAAGGAAUUAGGCGACAAACGCGUUUUCGAAGCAGCUAAACAAAUCAUCAAGGAACAAGGAAGGGUCGCUGGAGGGAAAUCCGUCUUGAGAAAAUGCAAAACAGAUCUGUCGUUGAUGUUCUUCUUACCAUCAACACUCCCAAACAGAAAAAUGCAUUUCAUCACACAAUUCUCACCAUUCCGACUUAUUCACAGUGUAUAUUCACAGCGCGUAUUCGUUAGAAACUUUUUGUGUCUUUGAUAUUCACAAAAAUGCAUAUAUUGCAUUUAUUAAAGACUAAUUUGACCUUCAUGUUUAUGGAAAAUACAUAUGAAAGUUUCUGUUCUCAAAGAGCAUUGAAGACUAAAUUGUCUUUUAUCUAAACACAUACGUGCUAGUCAUGCUAGCUAUGUGCGCACGUGGUCUUUAACUACGUUUCCCAGCAAGUUUUGCGACAACAGCACUUGUCUGGACUCAUUCCUUUCAUUCCCCGCCCUGCUUAACCGCCACAGGCUGUAAAAAUGUUUUUUAUGAAUUUAUAUAUAUAUCUAAAUAUGAAAAAAGCUUUUGUGUUAUUUUGGUUGCGCUCGCAGCGACAGCAUGUUUUAUUGCCCCGCUGUUAAUUACACUGUACACAAUGCAAGCAACAAUGGAAAAGUCAUUACAGUAAACAACUAUUUAAAACUUCUUCCUUUCAUGUCUUUUUUUGUUGUUGUCUACGUUUGGACCCUUUUAACAAAUAAAAAUAAAAA